AUUGAACGCUGGCGGCAGGCCUAACACAUGCAAGUCGAGCGGGGUUUUCGGACCUAGCGGCGGACGGGUGAGUAAUGCGUAGGAAGCUGCCCGAUAGAGGGGGAUACCAGUUGGAAACGACUGUUAAUACCGCAUAAUGUCUACGGACCAAAGUGUGGGACCUUCGGGCCACAUGCUAUCGGAUGCGCCUACGUGGGAUUAGCUAGUUGGUGAGGUAAUGGCUCACCAAGGCGACGAUCUCUAGCUGGUUUGAGAGGAUGAUCAGCCACACUGGAACUGAGACACGGUCCAGACUCCUACGGGAGGCAGCAGUGGGGAAUAUUGGACAAUGGGCGCAAGCCUGAUCCAGCCAUGCCGCGUGUGUGAAGAAGGCCUUCGGGUUGUAAAGCACUUUCAGCGAGGAGGAAGGGGUGUGUGUUAAUAGUACACACCUUUGACGUUACUCGCAGAAGAAGCACCGGCUAACUCUGUGCCAGCAGCCGCCGCGGUAA
rnacentral:rRNA from 1 species